rnacentral:rRNA from 1 species
UACAGAGGGUGCAAGCGUUAAUCGGAAUUACUGGGCGUAAAGGGCGCGUAGGUGGAUAAUUAAGUGAGAUGUGAAAUCCCAGGGCUUAACCUUGGAAUGGCAUUUUAUACUGGUUGUCUAGAGUACAUGAGAGGGUAGUGGAAUUUCCGGUGUAGCGGUGAAAUGCGUAGAUAUCGGAAGGAACACCAGUGGCGAAGGCGGCUACCUGGCAUGAUACUGACACUGAGGCGCGAAAGCGUGGGGAGCAAACAGG